rnacentral:rRNA from 1 species
UACGUAGGGUGCAAGCGUUGUCCGGAAUUAUUGGGCGUAAAGAGCUCGUAGGCGGUCUGUCGCGUCGGGAGUGAAAACUCAGGGCUUAACCCUGAGCCUGCUUCCGAUACGGGCAGACUAGAGGUAUGCAGGGGAGAACGGAAUUCCUGGUGUAGCGGUGAAAUGCGCAGAUAUCAGGAGGAACACCGGUGGCGAAGGCGGUUCUCUGGGCAUUAACUGACGCUGAGGAGCGAAAGCAUGGGGAGCGAACAGG